AGCGGCGGAUGGGUGAGUAACACGUGGGGAACCUGCCCCUAAGUCUGGGAUACCAUUUGGAAACAGGUGCUAAUACCGGAUAAUAAAGCAGAUCGCAUGAUCAGCUUUUGAAAGGCGGCGUAAGCUGUCGCUAAGGGAUGGCCCCGCGGUGCAUUAGCUAGUUGGUAAGGUAACGGCUUACCAAGGCGACGAUGCAUAGCCGAGUUGAGAGACUGAUCGGCCACAUUGGGACUGAGACACGGCCCAAACUCCUACGGGAGGCAGCAGUAGGGAAUCUUCCACAAUGGACGCAAGUCUGAUGGAGCAACGCCGCGUGAGUGAAGAAGGUUUUCGGAUCGUAAAGCUCUGUUGUUGGUGAAGAAGGAUAGAGGUAGUAACUGGCCUUUAUUUGACGGUAAUCAACCAGAAAGUCACGGCUAACUACGUGCCAGCAGCCGCGGUAAUACGUAGGUGGCAAGCGUUGUCCGGAUUUAUUGGGCGUAAAGCGAGCGCAGGCGGAAAAAUAAGUCCAAUGUGAAAGCCCUCGGCUUAACCGAGGAACUGCAUCGGAAACUGUUUUUCUUGAGUGCAGAAGAGGAGAGUGGAACUCCAUGUGUAGCGGUGGAAUGCGUAGAUAUAUGGAAGAACACCAGUGGCGAAGGCGGCUCUCUGGUCUGCAACUGACGCUGAGGCUCGAAAGCAUGGGUAGCGAACAGGAUUAGAUACCCUGGUAGUCCAUGCCGUAAACGAUGAGUGCUAAGUGU
rnacentral:rRNA from 1 species